rnacentral:rRNA from 1 species
UGUACGGUGGAAUGCGCAGAUAUCAGGAGGAACACCGAUGGCGAAGGCAGGUCUCUGGGCAGUAACUGACGCUGAGGAGCGAAAGCAUGGGGAGCGAACAGGAUUAGAUACCCUGGUAGUCCAUGCCGUAAACGGUGGGCGCUAGGUGUGAGGGUCUUCCACGACUUUCGUGCCGUAGCUAACGCAUUAAGCGCCCCGCCUGGGGAGUACGGCCGCAAGGCUAAAACUCAAAGGAAUUGACGGGGGCCCGCACAAGCGGCGGAGCAUGUGGAUUAAUUCGAUGCAACGCGAAGAACCUUACCUGGGCUUGACAUAUACAAGAUCGGCGUAGAGAUACGUUUUCCCUUGUGGUUUGUAUACAGGUGGUGCAUGGUUGUCGUCAGCUCGUGUCGUGAGAUGUUGGGUUAAGUCCCGCAACGAGCGCAACCCUUGUCUUAUGUUGCCAGCACGUGAUGGUGGGGACUCAUGAGAGACUGCCGGGGUUAACUCGGAGGAAGGUGGGGAUGACGUCAAAUCAUCAUGCCCCUUAUGUCCAGGGCUUCACACAUGCUACAAUGGUCGGUACAACGCGUUGCGAGCCUGUGAGGCGGAGCGAAUCCC